GGAGUGAUGGCCGAGCGGACUAAGGCGACUGACUUGAAAUCAGUUGUGGGUUUACCCCACCGUGGGUUCGAAUCCCUCUCACUCCG
rnacentral:tRNA from 1 species